rnacentral:rRNA from 1 species
CGUGCCAGCAGCCGCGGUAAUACCCGCAGCACGAGUAGUGGUCACUUUUAUUGAGCCUAAAGCGUUCGUAGCCGGUUUUGUAAAUCUUCAGAUAAAGCCUGAAGCUUAACUCCAGAAAGUCUGAAGAGACUGCAAGACUUGAGAUCGGGUGAGGUUAAACGUACUUUCAGGGUAGGGGUAAAAUCCUGUAAUCCCGGAAGGACGACCAGUGGCGAAAGCGUUUAACUAGAACGAAUCUGACGGUAAGGAACGAAGGCUAGGGUAGCAAACCGGAUUAGAUACCCGGGUAGUCCUAGCUGUAAACAUUGCCCAUUUGAUGUUGCUUUUCCGUUGAGGGAAGGCAGUGUCGGAGCGAAGGUGUUAAAUGGGCCGCUUGGGAAGUAUGGUCGCAAGACUGAAACUUAAAGGAAUUGGCGGGGGAGCACCGCAACGGGAGGAAUGUGCGGUUUAAUUGGAUUCAACGCCGGAAAACUCACCGGGAACGACCUGUGCAUGAGAGUCAACCUGACGAGCUUACUCGAUAGCAGGAGAGGUGGUGCAUGGCCGUCGUCAGCUCGUACCGUAGGGCGUUCACUUAAGUGUGAUAACGAGCGAGACCCACAUCUUUAAUUGCAAAUGUAUAUGAGAAUAUGCAUGCACUUUAGAGAAACCGCCAGCGCUAAGCUGGAGGAAGGAGUGGUCGACGGCAGGUCAGUACGCCCCGAAUUUCCCGGGCUACACGCGCAUUACAAAGAACGGGACAAUACGUUGCAACCUCGAAAGAGGAAGCUAAUCGCGAAACCCGUCCAUAGUUAGGAUUGAGGGCUGUAACUCGCCCUCAUGAAUCUGGAUUCCGUAGUAAUCGCGGGUCAACAACCCGCGGUGAACAUGCCCCUGCUCCUUGCACACACCGCCCGUCAAACCAUCCGAGUUGGUGUUGGAUGAGGUUUAAUUCGAGAGGGUUAAAUCAAAUCUGAUGUCGGUGAGGAGGGUUAAGUCGUAACAAGGUAUCCGUAGGGGAACCUGCGGCUGGAUCACCUCCUUAAGGGCGAAUCGCGGCCGCU